rnacentral:rRNA from 1 species
UGGGGAAUAUUGCGCAAUGGGCGAAAGCCUGACGCAGCGACGCCGCGUGAGGGAUGAAGGUUUUCGGAUCGUAAACCUCUGUCAGAAGGGAAGAAACCGCACUGUGCUAAUCAGCAGUGCCUUGACGGUACCUUCAAAGGAAGCACCGGCUAACUCCGUGCCAGCAGCCGCGGUAAUACGGAGGGUGCAAGCGUUAAUCGGCAUUACUGGGCGUAAAGCGCACGUAGGCUGCUUUGUAAGUCAGGGGUGAAAUCCCACGGCUCAACCGUGGGAAUGACUUUGAUACUGCCUAGCUUGAAUCCGGGAGAGGGUGGCGGAAUUCCAGGUGUAGGAGUGAAAUCCGUAGAUAUCUGGAGGAACAUCAGUGGCGAAGGCGGCCACCUGGACCGGUAUUGACGCUGAGGUGCGAAAGCGUGGGGAGCAAACAGG